rnacentral:rRNA from 1 species
UACGAAGGGGCUAGCGUUGUUCGGAAUUACUGGGCGUAAAGCGCGCGUAGGCGGAUCGCUAAGUCAGGGGUGAAAUCCCAGGGCUCAACCCUGGAACUGCCUUUGAUACUGACGGUCUGGAGAUCGGGAGAGGUGAGUGGAAUUCCGAGUGUAGAGGUGAAAUUCGUAGAUAUUCGGAGGAACACCAGAAGCGAAGGCGGCUCACUGGCCCGAUACGUGACGCUGAGGCGCGAAAGCGUGGGUAGCAAACAGG